rnacentral:rRNA from 1 species
UACGGAGGGUGCAAGCGUUAAUCGGAAUUACUGGGCGUAAAGCGCGCGUAGGCGGAUUUGUCAGUCAGAUGUGAAAGCCCUGGGCUCAACCUAGGAAUUGCAUUUGAUACUGCGAGUCUAGAGUAUGGUAGAGGUGAGUGGAAUUCCAGGUGUAGCGGUGAAAUGCGUAGAUAUCUGGAGGAACAUCAGUGGCGAAGGCG